rnacentral:lncRNA from 1 species
CCUUCGGUUUUGCCCUUACGUACUAAUUUUUAGUUGACCAGUCAUGCUGAGCUAGAAACGGAUAUAAUAGAUAUUUCUAUAGGAAAGCUCUUUUGUAUUAGUCUAUCCUCUUCAUGUUCUUAACUGGCAUUCGCAUGUAAUGGCAUACAGUAUUUUGGUAACACUAUGAAGACUGCGUUAACCAAAAUUCACCAAAAGAUAAAAACUUAGCCUUCCAUGUGUUACCGUUCUGUUUUCAAGCC